GCCGGUGUGGUGGGAUGGUAGACGCGCCGGACUCAAAAUCCGGUUCCGCAAGGAGUGUCGGUUCGAGUCCGACCACCGGCACCA
rnacentral:tRNA from 1 species